rnacentral:piRNA from 1 species
UCUUUCACUUGUGUGCCAUUGGUCUU